CGUUAGAGACAACAACCAGGACGCCUGUGUAUAUUGAAUACAUGGUCUGGGUUCGGACAGGUGACCGUGCGAAGGUAGCAUAAUCAUUAGUCUUUUAAUUGAGGGCUUGUAUGAAUGGUUGGACAAAAAAUAAGCUGUCUCAGUUAUAAAAAUUGAAUUUAACUUUUAAGUGAAAAGGCUUAAAUAAUUUAGGGGGACGAUAAGACCCUAUAAAGCUUUACAAUUAUUUAAUUAAAUUAUAAAUUGUUAGUAUAAACUUAAUUUAAUUGAUGUUUGUUUCGUUGGGGCGACGAGAAUAUAAUUUAGUAACUGUUCUUUUAUAGUUUGUUACAAUAAUUUUUGGUAAAAAAUUGAUCCUUUAUUAAAGAUUAAAAGAUUAAGUUACUUUAGGGAUAACAGCGUAAUCUUCCUUGAAAGUUCAUAUCGACAGGAAGGGUUGCGACCUCGAUGUUGAAUUAAGAUUUCUCUAUGGCGCAGCAGUUAUAGUGAGAAGGUCUGUUCGACCUUUAAAUUCUUACGUGAUCUGAGUUUCAGACCAGA
rnacentral:rRNA from 1 species